rnacentral:lncRNA from 1 species
UUUUUUUUUUUUUUUUUUUUUGCUUUUUUAGGGCCACGCCCUCAGCAUAUGGAGAAGUGGCCCAAGAAAUGCCAAAACAAACAAACAAACAAAAAGUACCACAGAUGUAAACUAUUGUGGGAGCACAAAGAAGCAGGGAUUCUAGGGUAUAUGUAGAGAGAUAACUCACAUUUAGGGUAGGAUUUCACCAGGAAGAAAGGAGGAGGGGAAGUUUGGGAAAUUUUAUAUUUAAUAAAAUGCCAGAUAAUAAAUAUUUUAGGCUCUGCAGGCCAGACAGUCUGUUGCAGCUCCUCAACUCUGCCAGUGUAGCACAAAAGCAGACACAGUCAAAAUGAAAAUGAAUGAACAUGGCUUGUUCCAAUAAAACUUAAUUUACAAAACAAGAAGGCAGCUGGAUUUUGCCUGGGUACCACGCCUUACAGAGCCUUGCAAAAUCAAUGAUUAAAGCAGGGACGUGAUCAAAUCUUUGUUCUAGAAAGACCACUCUGGGCGAAUGUAAAAGAAAGAGUUUACAUUCUCACUAUCCUUUUCCUUAGAGAAUGUCAGACCAAUUCGUACCAUGAUAGGCCUGUGGGCCCUGGAUUUUUAUAAGAUGAGGAAAGUAAUAAGUCUGGAUAUUUUCAUACAACGCUCCAAUUCCCUGUCACUUGCCUUCCCAAUUCCAUUUCCAUAUAUAUAUAUNUUGGCUGCCCCAUGACAUAUGGAGUUCCUGGGCCAGGGCUCUGAUCUGGACUGCAGUUGCAAGCUAUACCACAACUGCGGGAACACCAGAUCCUUAACCCACUGCACCAGGCCUGUCCAGGGAUCAAACCUGCAUCCCAGUGCUCCAGAAAAUUUAAUCAAUAAAAAGCAGGAAACCCUUAAAUUUGAAUUUCAGAUAAACACUAAAUAAUUGUUUAGUAUAAAUGUGUUGCGUGCAGCCUUUGGCACAUACUUGUAUUAAAAAAAUGUAUUCAUUGUUUAUCUGAAAUUCAAACUUAACUGGGCACCCUGUGCUUUCUCUGGCAGUGCUACUGGGACCUCUUCAGUCCGAGUUCCUCAAAAUUUUAAGGAAAUAUAAGAGGACAAGGGUGAGGGUAACCUGAUGUCCAGAUUGGGUUGUGGCUGAUGGGCCUGUGGGCAGCAGGUGGGUGCGUGGGGGACAGUGGAGUAAGGCCUAGUAAGGGCGUUCCCGUCAUGGCGCAGUGGAAACGAAUCCGGCUAGGAACCCUGAGUAAGACCUAGUAAAUGAGUAUCAAGGUGGGUGAGUUCGGAGGAAGGGGAUGCUGGCGAGAGGUUACUGAAAGGCCAGUGAGAUGUAGGCAGGGCAGGAAGGGAAGGAAGGGUAGGUGUGGUGCCUUAUAUAAUCCCUUACAUUUGAAUAGAGCUUUACAACUGCACAAAAGUGUCUCCACUGACUCUUACAGAAGCCUCUCAGGGAGAGGGCCUGAGUCACUGAUCUCAUUUAAAAAGGAGGAAACAGGAGACUCAAUAGAGGUCUGGCAGAUUCCUUUGGACAACCCAAGCGAAGGGGCCUGCGGAGAUGCCAAGAAGGCCUUGACCUCGCUUGACCUGCUCUGCUUCCUAAAGGUCCGCUCUGCGGUCACAGGAGUUAGUCCUGGGGGUGAAGAGAAGCAGCACCAGCAUCCGCAGCUAACAUUUGCGCCAGGCCCUGGUCUGCGUGCGUUGUGUCUGUAAUCACGUGUUUGUCACAGUGUCCCCACGAGGUAGGUAUCACCUUUAUCCCUAUGUAACGGGCACAGAGAGGCCAAGCAACUAGCUCAAGAUGAUACAGAAUGAGGAGUUCCCGUUGUGGCGCAGUGGUUAACGAAUCCGACUAGGAACCCUGAGGUUGCGGGUUCGGUCCCUGCCCUUGCUCAGUGGGUUAAUGAUCCGGCGUUGCCGUGAGCUGUGGUGUAGGUUGCAGACGCGGCUCGGAUCCAGCGUUGCUAUGGCUCUGGCGUAGGCCAGUGGCUCCAGCUCCGAUUCGACCCCUAGCCUGGGAACCUCCAUAUGCCGCGG